rnacentral:lncRNA from 1 species
UUCAAUUAUAUACUCCAGAAAAGCUAUGGUUUUGAGAGUUGAUUAAGACACAUAGAUAUGUUAGUCAUCUUCUCAACUUCUCCUCAAAUUCCGAUGACCUUCCUAGCAGUUAAAAUAUUGGAAAGUUGGAUAGUGGUUGCCUUGGCUGGAUUCAGAAAAUUUGGGUCUCCACAAAAAGUGAAGUUACAAGUAGGCUCGAUGGGUUCUGUAGUCAAAUGUCUUCUGAUAUCCUAGCUAUUCUUGUAUAAUAAUUGUACGAAUAAAUAUCCAUUGUGUUAAAUAGACAUUUCAUGAAUUGGAGACAUGAUUUUUUAGUCAAUGCAGUUUUUUUUUUUUUUAAUCAGUACUCAAUGAUGUUUAAGCUUCAGUUUUCUUUGUGUUUCUAUAAUUCAUGAAGCUAAAUUUAACAACCAAACAAUUUAAUACCCAUAUAUGUAUCAUCAGUUAUUGUUACGGCUUAGUGAUAUUUUUUUUUAUUUUGUAAGUGAGUGAUCUUAGGUUCAAUUCUCGAGAAUGACGAGUUCGAAACUAAUUUAUCUCGUAUCUUUUAGUGUAAAUAUGUCGUUAUAUAAAAAACACUCAUAUACAUACACGUUUGACUUUGUACGUGCCAAUUUUGAAAAACUCCCUCGCAAGUAGCUUGACCAUAAUUUUUUUGAGACAAACCAUCAGUACUGUUAAACUUAAUACAAGAAAAUUAAGGCGAAGACCAAAGCAAAUGACGAUAAUAUACGUUGGAUAACCAAAGAAGAAAUAAUACAUAGAUUCAAACCUUGAGAGUAUCCAGGGAGUAAUUAACUUCCUAGCAUGAUUGUAGGAUUAGUAGACAUGCGUAUGCAAUGUAAAGAAACUGGUCAGUCCUAAAAAAAAUAAACUUAGUGCAUGCUUUUCAAUUGGCAGAAACAUUAAAAAGGCCCACGAAAAUUCAAAGGUUAAUCGACGAGAAAAAUCGUAUGCACAAAUGAGUCCCAAAACGCUGUUAAAUAAUCAGAGAAAGGCAGAGAAACGUAAAUGUAGAGGUUAAAAAUGCCACGCUGGCAUGUUUACUUUGUUUUUACUAGAAGCAAUGGAAAGUGGUAUUUCAUUGAACUUUACAAAGAUUACAAAGGUUUCCAAUUUAGUACAUAACUUCAGUGACCAAAAAAUUGAUCUGGAGUGUUGUGCAAUCAAACAAAUUACAAUAAGCCCAUAUCCGACCACAAGCACAGCCUUACCCUACAAAACAUCAUCAGUACAAAUUUGUCACAAUAACAUGAUAGACACAACAAACCUAUACUGACGACCACAUAGGUCAUUGUAGAAGUGCAAGGCCACAUAAAAUCAUCUCAAGCGAGACCACAUAAAGUCCUUGUUGAAAGACUAGACCACAAACUCAUCACUUAAAGCAAAGUCAACAUCCAGUCAUCGUAAAUACAACACUUGCAGGGCGAGGCUACAAAACCAACUACACACUACUCUGAGCAAGUGGCCAUCAAUCAGCUCAUCUCAGCGACUAGGACAAUAACCAAGACAACACCUUCACCACACUAGUGAGCUCCACUACAUCCAUGAGUAAAUCAGGUUACACAAGGGCGAAGUCAUCUGAUGUGGUUGCACAAGGCAGUAACGCCAUCAGAUUUGAAUAAGGCAACGAGUAACCUGGACCUGUGGGUGCAAGGCUGCAACCACCAAAUUGGUCGAGGAGAGUGUCACCACUAUGGAAACAAGCUGAUGGAAGUGGAACUUGUUAAAAUGCAUGAAAUAAACAUGUUGGAAUAAUGGUGUUGGAUGACUAGUGAAAUUAG